rnacentral:rRNA from 1 species
AUGAACGCUGGCGGCGUGCCUAAGACAUGCAAGUCGAGUGGGUUUAGGCCCACGGCGAACGGGUGAGUAAUACCUAGGAACGUAUCUUUAGUUGGGCAUAUCCCGCCGAAAGGCGGAGCAAUUCCCAAUGUGACCGCAAGGUUAAAGUCGCAAGACGCUAAAGAAGCGGCCUGGGCACCAUCAGCUAGUUGGUAAGGUAAUGGCUUACCAAGGCUAUGACGGUUAGGGGCCCCGAGAGGGGAAACCUCCACACUGGAACUGCGACACGGUCCAGACUCCUACGGGAGGCAGCAGUUUGGAAUUUUGGACAAUGGGCGAAAGCCUGAUCCAGCGACGCCGCGUGGACGAUGAAGGCCUUCGGGUUGUAAAGUCCUUUUGUAAGGGAACAAUUUUUGAGCGUACCUUACGAAUAAGAGGUUGCUAACUCUGU